rnacentral:snRNA from 1 species
CGAAGAGGGGAAAGGUUCCAU